rnacentral:rRNA from 1 species
AAUCAACGCUGGCGGCGUGCCUCAGACAUGCAAGUCGAACGAUUAAAGCUCUCUUCGGAGAGUGUAUAGAGUGGCGCACGGGUGAGUAACACGUAAGUAAUCUACCUUUGAGUGGGGAAUAACCCGGGGAAACCCGAGCUAAUACCGCAUAAUGCAGCGGCACCGCAAGGUGACAGUUGUUAAAGGAGCAAUCCGCUUAAAGAGGAGCUUGCGGCAGAUUAGCUAGNGGUAAGGUAAUGGCUUACCAAGGCUUCGAUCUGUAUCCGGCCUGAGAGGGCGGUCGGACACACUGACACUGAAUAACGGGUCAGACUCCUACGGGAGGCAGCAGUCGGGAAUUUUGGGCAAUGGGCGAAAGCCUGACCCAGCAACGCCGCGUGAAGGAUGAAGUAUUUCGGUAU